GAUGAAGAACGUAGCGAAAUGCGAUAAGUAAUGUGAAUUGCAGAAUUCAGUGAAUCAUCGAAUCUUUGAACGCACAUUGCGCCCGCCAGUAUUCUGGCGGGCAUGCCUGUUCGAGCGUCAUUUCAACCAUCAAGCCCCCCGGCUUGUGUUGGGGACCUGCGGCUGCCGCAGGCCCUGAAAAGCAGAGGCGGGCUCGCUGUCACACCGAGCGUAGUAGAUCUCAUCUCGCUCAGGGCGUGCUGCGGGUUCCGGCCGUUAAACCACCUUCAUAACCCAAGAUUGACCUCUGAUCAGGUAGGAAGACCCGCUGAACUUAAGCAUAUCAAUAAGCGGAGGA
rnacentral:misc_RNA from 1 species